AACGAACGCUGGCGGCAUGCCUAACACAUGCAAGUCGAACGAGACCUUCGGGUCUAGUGGCGCACGGGUGCGUAACGCGUGGGAACCUGCCCUUAGGUUCGGAAUAACUCCCCGAAAGGGGUGCUAAUACCGGAUAAUGUCUUCGGACCAAAGAUUUAUCGCCUUUGGAUGGGCCCGCGUUGGAUUAGCGAGUUGGUAGGGUACAAGCCUACCAAGGCGACGAUCCAUAGCUGGUCUGAGAGGAUGAUCAGCCACACUGGGACUGAGACACGGCCCAGACUGCUACGGGAGGCAGCAGUGGGGAAUAUUGGACAAUGGGCGAAAGCCUGAUCCAGCAAUGCGGCGUGAGUGAUGAAGGCCUUAGGGUUGUAAAGCUCUUUUAGCCGGGAUGAUAAUGACAGUACCGGGAGAAUAAGCUCCGGCUAACUCCGUG
rnacentral:rRNA from 1 species